rnacentral:misc_RNA from 1 species
GAUGAAGAACGCAGCGAAAUGCGAUAAGUAGUGUGAAUUGCAGAAUUCAGUGAAUCAUCGAAUCUUUGAACGCACAUUGCGCCCUUUGGUAUUCCAAAGGGCAUGCCUGUUCGAGCGUCAUUUGUACCCUCAAGCUUUGCUUGGUGUUGGGCGUCUUGUCUCUAGCUUUGCUGGAGACUCGCCUUAAAGUAAUUGGCAGCCGGCCUACUGGUUUCGGAGCGCAGCACAAGUCGCACUCUCUAUCAGCAAAGGUCUAGCAUCCAUUAAGCCUUUUUUUCAACUUCUGACCUCGGAUCAGGUAGGGAUACCCGCUGAACUUAAGCAUAUCAAUAAGCGGAGGA